rnacentral:rRNA from 1 species
GAUGAACGCUGGCGGCGUGCCUAAUACAUGCAAGUCGAGCGAACAGACGAGGAGCUUGCUCCUCUGACGUUAGCGGCGGACGGGUGAGUAACACGUGGAUAACCUACCUAUAAGACUGGGAUAACUUCGGGAAACCGGAGCUAAUACCGUAUAACAUGUUGAACCGCAUGGUUCAACAGUGAAAGACGGUCUUGCUGUCACUUAUAGAUGGAUCCGCGCCGCAUUAGCUAGUUGGUAAGGUAACGGCUUACCAAGGCAACGAUGCGUAGCCGACCUGAGAGGGUGAUCGGCCACACUGGAACUGAGACACGGUCCAGACUCCUACGGGAGGCAGCAGUAGGGAAUCUUCCGCAAUGGGCGAAAGCCUGACGGAGCAACGCCGCGUGAGUGAAGAAGGUCUUCGGAUCGUAAAACUCUGUUAUUAGGGAAGAACAAAUGUGUAAGUAUCUAUGCACGUCUUGACGGUACCUAAUCAGAAAGCCACGGCUAACUACGUG